AUUGAACGCUAGCGGGAUGCCUUACACAUGCAAGUCGAACGGAGUGGCGAACGGGUGAGUAAUGUAUCGGUACGUGCCCAGUAGCGGGGGAUAACUACGCGAAAGCGUAGCUAAUACCGCAUACUAUUGGAGCGCUCGAUAGCGGAUUAGCUAGUUGGUGGGGGAACGGGUCACCAAGGCGCAGAUCCGUAGCUGGUUUGAGAGGACGACCAGCCACACUGGGAAUGAGACACGGCCCAGACUCCUACGGUAGGCAGCAGUGGGGAAUUUUCAACAAUGGGGGAAACCCUGAUCCAGCCAUCCCGCGUGUGCGAUGAAGUCCUUCGGGUGGUAAAGCACUUGUGGCAGGAAGGCGGUACCUGCAGAACAAGCACCGGCUAACUCCGUGCCAGCAGCCGCGGUAAUUC
rnacentral:rRNA from 1 species